AGUGAACGCUGGCGGCAGGCCUAACACAUGCAAGUCGAGCGGCAGCGCGGGGGCAACCCUGGCGGCGAGCGGCGGACGGGUGAGGAAUUCGUCGGAAUCUGCCUUUUUGUGGGGGAUAACGUAGGGAAACUUACGCUAAUACCGCAUACGUCCUACGGGAGAAAGUGGGGGACCGCAAGGCCUCACGCAGAAAGAUGAGCCGACGACCGAUUAGCUAGUUGGUGGGGUAAAGGCCCACCAAGGCGACGAUCGGUAGCUGGUCUGAGAGGAUGAUCAGCCACACUGGGACUGAGACACGGCCCAGACUCCUACGGGAGGCAGCAGUGGGGAAUAUUGGACAAUGGGCGCAAGCCCGAUCCAGCCAUGCCGCGUGUGUGAAGAAGGCCUUCGGGUUGUAAAGCACUUUUGUCCGGAAAGAAAUCCCUGGAGCUAAUACCUUCGGGGGAUGACGGUACCGGAAGAAUAAGCACCGGCUAACUUCGUG
rnacentral:rRNA from 1 species